UAGAUGCAGUGGGAUUGAGGUACAGCCAUAGUUUGUAGACAGACAGAUUGAGGUACAGCCAUAGUUUGUAGACAGACAGAUUGAGGUACAGCCAUAGUUUGUAGACAGACAGAUUGAGGUACAGCCAUAGUUUGUAGACAGACAGAUUGAGGUACAGCCAUAGUUUGUAGACAGACAGAUUGAGGUACAGCCAUAGUUUGUAGACAGACAGAUUGAGGUACAGCCAUAGUUUGUAGACAGACAGAUUGAGGUACAGCCAUAGUUUGUAGACAGACAGAUUGAGGUACAGCCAUAGUUUGUAGACAGACAGAUUGAGGUACAGCCAUAGUUUGUAGACAGACAGAUUGAGGUACAGCCAUAGUUUGUAGACAGACAGAUUGAGGUACAGCCAUAGUUUGUAGACAGACAGAUUGAGGUACAGCCAUAGUUUGUAGACAGACAGAUUGAGGUACAGCCAUAGUUUGUAGACAGACAGAUUGAGGUACAGCCAUAGUUUGUAGACAGACAGAUUGAGGUACAGCCAUAGUUUGUAGACAGACAGAUUGAGGUACAGCCAUAGUUUGUAGACAGACAGAUUGAGGUACAGCCAUAGUUUGUAGACAGACAGAUUGAGGUACAGCCAUAGUUUGUAGACAGACAGAUUGAGGUACAGCCAUAGUUUGUAGACAGACAGAUUGAGGUACAGCCAUAGUUUGUAGACAGACAGAUUGAGGUACAGCCAUAGUUUGUAGACAGACAGAUUGAGGUACAGCCAUAGUUUGUAGACAGACAGAUUGAGGUACAGCCAUAGUUUGUAGACAGACAGAUUGAGGUACAGCCAUAGUUUGUAGACAGACUGAUUGAGGUACAGCCAUAGUUAGUAGACAGACAGAUUGAGGUACAGCCAUAGUUUGUAGACAGACAUAUUGAGGCACAGCCUUAGUUUUUGAACAGACAGACAGACAGACAGACAGACAGACAGACAGACAGACAGACAGACAGACAGACAUAUUGAGAUACAGCCGUAUUUUGUAGAAAGACAGACAGA